GCUCUCCUCUCCUGCUAAGCUUUGUUUCCUGGCAGUAAUUAAAACCUUACGCCACUGCCAUAGCUACUGCUGCUGUUGGAACCGCCACAGCCACUUUGGUUUCAUAGUUUGGCAAAGUAUUGGCCUCCACCACCAUAGGGGCCAGUGCUUGUGCCUCCAAAAUUUCCUUUCAUGGGUCCAAAAUUUGAAGAUUGAUUGUUGUAAUUGCCAAAAUCAUUACAGCUUCCACCACCUCCAAAGUUGCUUCCACUACCGCUGCCAAAGCUGCCUCCACCUCCUCCAUUGUUAUAGCUGUCAUAGCUGCCACUCCCGCCAUAGCCACUGCCCUGGUUUCCAUAACCCUGUCCACCACUUUGAUAGCCUCUGCUUCCUCCAGAGUAACCAGGGCCGCCUCCUCCAUAACCACCAUCAUUACCAAAUCCGUUAUAGCCAUCCCCACUGCCACCAUAUCCACCACCACCUUGACUGCCACCAAAGCCACCUCACCCACUGAAGUUUCCUCCAUGGCCAAAGUUGUCGUUCCCACCUAAACCACCUCCACAACCACUGCUGAAGUUCCCAGAACCACUUCGACCUCUUUGGCUGGAAGAAGCACCAGCCAUCUCUUGCUUAGAUAAAGCUUUCCUUACUUCACUGUUGUGGCCAUUCACAGUAUGGUAUUUUUUAAUGACAAUCUUGUCUACAGAGUCAUGGUUGCCAAAUGUUACAAAAGCAAAGUCUGUCUUUUUGCCACUGCCUCGGUCAGUCAUGAUUUCAAUCACUUCAAUUUUCCCAUACUGUUCAAAAUAAUAUUUUAGGUAAUGUUUUUCAGUGUCUUCUUUAAUGCUACUGACAAAAAUCUUUUUCACAGUUAAGUGGGCACCAGGUCUUUGAGAAUCUUCUCUCGAGACAGCCCUCUUUGGUUCUACAACUCUUCCAUCCACCUUAUGUGGCCUUGCAUUUGUGGCUGCGUCCACCUCUUCCACAGUGGCAUGCAUACGUGACAAACCCAAAGCCUCUGGAGAACUUGGUGUUUGGAUCUCUCAUUAGCACACAGUCCGUAAGCAUUCCCCACUGCUCAAAAUGGCUCCUCAGACUCUCAUUGGUUGUUUCAAAGCUCAAACCUCCGAUGAAAAGCUUCCGCAGCUGUUUAGGCUCUUUGGGAGACUCAGACUUAGACAUGAUGGCGGUGAGAGGGGAGACUUUCACGAUGCUUACUCAGCAGCGUCCACGGGCAGAAAG
rnacentral:lncRNA from 1 species